GAGAUUCUAUGUUUUUUAUGUGUUUUAUUCUUUGUUUUAUUAUCUUUUAAUAUUCAAGCAUAUUGUAAAGUGUUUAUAUAUUUCACAGAAUUUGCUGUACUUCCCCAUGUCACAAGAUUCGAUGUAUUGCUCCAUUGUCAUGCAACCCGACAGUGAACUCUGCAAUACAAAUAGUUUAAGCAGGAAACAGAUGCGGGUCACCCAGACUACAAUAGAAAACGGAUGAGGCACCUAAACCACAACAGGAAAACAGAUGCGCGACUCCCUAACCACAAAAGAUUAAGUCAGCGCCACGUCUUUUAGAAAGAAGCAGACACACACACACAUAUACAACUGUUGGUUUAAAGGAAUUUGUAAAAGAGGAAAUGUGACGUAUUUGCAUACACGAUGUAAACUAUAAAUAAAGAGCCAUCGCCUGCACUCGGUGUGAGUCUCGUCAGAGUUCUCACCCGUGCACGUUAAUGUUAUUACAUUCUAACUGUUUGAGUGUCUUUAUUCAGCCUGAAGAAUGUCUUAUUAAAAAUAAACUCUUGACAUUUAAUUGGUCCUUCGAGCCGGAUGUAGGACAUCGAAUUAUAACUAAUUUUAUGCUCCAACGGAGUGACCUCGUCGUUUCCUGACAUCGUGGAGAGCCCGCGCUGAAGUCUGUCGACAGCCUCUUUCCUAUGAAGGAGAAAAAGACCAACUACGUGAAUUCGGGGUUGGCCAGCGUUCUUAGUAAGAGGUCCACGAUCCUGGGGAACGAGGAGGAAUCUCUGACCGGCACUUAUAUCAUCAUAACCAGUCUCUUCCAGGUUGAAGCCAGGCGACUGGAUCCUGAUCAAGGUUCUCCAGAGGAAAAACUGGAGCUCACCAAGGUGGGAGGGCCCUUUUCAGGUCCUGCUAACGACGCCAACAGCGUGCAAGAUCGCUGAAAGACCUUCGUGGAUCCACCAGAGCCACACCAAAAAAGUACAAGGGGACACAAGCCCAGACGCCAGUUCACCUGUCAUCUAGUGAUCUGUAAGUAAAGGAGAGGGCAGAUCGGGUACACCCCGCCCUCUUAACUUUUCGCUUUCAGUCAACACACUAGGUGAUCUGGUGAACUUGGUCGACCUGAAGAAACCCCAUUGUAGCCCGAGCACCGACCUAGCCCCACCUGCCCGGUAGAGUAAAGGAAGAUCAGUCCAACCUGCAAAACCAGAAGAGCAACCCAUCACUCAAGUAACUACUCAGACACUCACAAGCAAUGCCUGACAUAGACGUGCAAAAUGAACAUUCAGACAUUUCAGAUGGAGAGGACCCAGUCCCCAACAGGACUCGACGACGAUGCUGGUCAGAGGAAUGCCAACUAAUGCAUAAUUAUGUACCCCAUAACAAAACUGAAAUGGCAUUCUUUGUAAACCUACUACAAACUCUAGAAACAGUAAUAAAUACAAGUCUGCGUGCAUGUGCUCCAAAGGAACCAAUAAAGAGCUUAAUAACACUUCCGGUCACACCGCCCGAACUAGCCCAUAACAUGACCAUGGUCUGCCUAUGGAGACUUAGAGUCCCAGAAAAGCAGGGUGUAUCUUUUGUUUAUCCAAAUAAGACACUGCAA